GCUGGGUGUGGUGGCGCAUGCCUGUAAUCCCAGCUACUCAGGAGGCUGAGGCAGGAGAAUCGCUUGAACCUGGGAAGCUCUGAACCUGUGAUGAGCUGAGAUCACGCCACCGCACUCCAGCCUGGGUGACAGAGCGAGACUCUGUCUCAA
ensembl:misc_RNA Metazoa_SRP Metazoan signal recognition particle RNA